rnacentral:rRNA from 1 species
UACGUAGGUGGCAAGCGUUGUCCGGAAUUAUUGGGCGUAAAGCGCGCGCAGGCGGUCCUUUAAGUCUGAUGUGAAAGCCCACGGCUCAACCGUGGAGGGUCAUUGGAAACUGGGGGACUUGAGUACAGAAGAGAAGAGUGGAAUUCCACGUGUAGCGGUGAAAUGCGUAGAGAUGUGGAGGAACACCAGUGGCGAAGGCGGCCAUCUGGACGGUGACUGACGCUGAGACGCGAAAGCGUGGGGAGCAAACAGG